rnacentral:lncRNA from 1 species
AUUCAGCAUGCUAUGUUAGCAAAUACCACACCAGCAAGUUAACAGCUAUUUUUUCUUGCUUGUUGGCUGAAGAGUUACACUGACAGUGAAUCCAGCAUAGCUGGGGAAGGAGGGACAAGUGCUCCCUGAGCUCUGAGCUUAGAUGGAAGCUCAGAGAGCUUCAAAUCCACAUGUUAAUGAACUAUGGGAACGCAGUUUUGCUCAGGGCGCACAUCAUAACAACCAUUGCUGAAGUGGGACACCAGGGAAUCACACACAGAACUGCUGGCAGAUGCUUCUGGUGAGAUUUAUUCAGCAACUCUCCCAUCUUCUGGUAUAGCAUUGCUAGUGCUGGCCUUGGAUGAUCCUUGCCCAUCACAGCCAAGGAAACACCUAGCAACAGUAACACAAGUGGCUGCAUUUCCUGAUUCUGGAUUAAGUUCAAGAUUUCAAAUACGACUGGGCUCGUUUCUGAUUAGAAAGUUUGAUAUUUAUCACAGACUUACCUGUCUUCCAUAUCCAGUGUGAGUGAGAUUGUAAAAAGGCUCACAAAGUCUAAGAGAAGUAAAAUAAUGCCACUUGUGAUCUUGGAAGGGCAACAGCCUGGACGGGCAUGGGAUACAGUGGCAAGGCACGCAGCAAGAGCUGGAUUGUAUUCUCUGCUGUGGGGGACAUGGAGAUGGCUGGGAGUGGAAUAAGGGGUCUCUAGGUCCCACCUUGCAUCCUGCAUCAGAGCAACAGCACCAGUGGAGAUACUCCCACAGCUUUAAACAGCCCACUUAGUUGUGCCAGAUAAGCACAACACAGAGCAGCAAGAGUAUCUAUCGUGAUAAAUAAAGAUGGACCAGGAUACA